UAUCUGGUAGUGUAGUGGUCAAGACGCUGGCCUGGUAAUCAGGAAGGCGUGAGUUCAAUCCCCACCGAGGUAU
rnacentral:tRNA from 1 species